AAAGAAAGUAAGCAAGGGCGCAUGGCGGAUGCCUUGGCUCUCGGAGGCGAUGAAGGACGUGAUAAGCUGCGAUAAGCUUCGGGUAGGUGCAAAUAACCUUUGAUCCGAAGAUUUCCGAAUGGGACAACCCGUCAUUCUGAAGGAAUGACAUCUUGCAUAGCAAGAGGCUAACGCAGGGAACUGAAACAUCUUAGUACCUGCAGGAAAAGAAAAUAAUAAUGAUUCCCCUAGUAGUGGCGAGCGAACGGGGAUUAGCCCAAACCAAUGUUGUUACGGCAAUAUUGGGGUUGUAGGACCACGAUGUCGCAAGAAAUUUAGUGAGAAGAAUUCUUUGGAAAAUGAAACCAUAGACGGUGAUAGUCCGGUAUUCGAAGCUAAACGAAGCGUAGUGGUAUCCUGAGUAGCGCGGGACACGAGGAAUCUUGCGUGAAUCUGCCGGGACCAUCCGGUAAGGCUAAAUACUCCCGAGAGACCGAUAGCGAACCAGUACUGUGAAGGAAAGGUGAAAAGCACUUCGAAUAGAAGAGUGAAAUAGUCCCUGAAACCGUGCGCCUACAAGCGGUCGGAGCAGCGUAAGUUGUGACGGCGUGCCUUUUGCAUAAUGAACCUACGAGUUACUUUUUCCGGCAAGGUUAAGCAUUUCAAAAUGUGUAGCCGAAGCGAAAGCGAGUCUGAACAGGGCGAUUAGUCGGAAGGAGUAGACGCGAAACCAAGUGAUCUACCCUUGGUCAGGUUGAAGGUUAGGUAACACUAACUGGAGGACCGAACCGAUAAGCGUUGAAAAGCUUCCGGAUGAACUGAGGGUGGGGGUGAAAGGCUAAUCAAACUUGGAGAUAGCUCGUACUCCCCGAAAUGCAUUUAGGUGCAGCCUUGGGAAUUACUACUGUGAGGUAGAGCGACUGAUAAGAUGCGAGGGCUUCACCGCCUAUCAAGUCUUGAUAAACUCCGAAUGCGCAGUAGUUCGAUCCCAGGAGUGAGGGCAUGGGUGCUAAGGUCCAUGUCCUAAAGGAGAAGAAUCCGGACCAUCAGCUAAGGUCCCGAAAUAAUUGCUAAGUUGAACUAACGAAGUCAGAUUGCUAAGACAGCUAGGAUGUUGGCUUGGAAGCAGCCAUUCAUUUAAAGAGUGCGUAACAGCUCACUAGUCGAGGAGUUUGGCGUGGAUAAUAAUCGGGCAUCAAGCAAUUUACCGAAGCUAUGGGAU
rnacentral:rRNA from 1 species